UUUAAUAGCGCUCUCAUGCUUUUGCUGUCAAGCAGGAGGAGAGAGAUCUUUGAGGAGGGGCAGGAGUGGUGAUGUGUGAAAGUAUCCAAUACUUUUCAGUUGUCCAUCAGCACAGAAAAGCUAAAUCACUUAGUUUUCUGAUCAGUUUCAGUACAGAGGCUAAAAUUAUUUUAAGGGCUGGGGCCAUAGUUCAGUGGAAGAGCAUCUGUUUACAUGCAGGAAGCCCCAGGCUCAAUCCCAGGCAUCUUUAAGUAGGGCUGGGAAAGACUCCUGCCUGGAAUUUUGGAGAAGCUGCUGCCAGUCAGUGUAGAAGGCAGUACUGAGCUAGAUGGACCAGUGGUCUGACUCUGUGUAAGGACAACUUUCUGUGUUCCUAUGAUUGCUUCUGUCUACCCCUUGAAUUCUCUCACCCACGCUUCUUGUUCUUGUUCUUUCUUUUCUGUUCUUGUCUGCCUUCCUCUGCAAAGAUCCACUUGCAGAAAUGUGCAGACAUACUAACUUGAAUGCCUGUGCUCUUUAAAACCCGUCUCUCUUUAGCCAACAAACUGCUGGCCAGUCAACUUUCUCACUGUUUUGGUUUUGAACCCUUUUCUGCCUAGGAACUGGCAAGGACACACACGCCCUCCACUGGCGCCCAAUCCACUCCCAGGAUGAUGAUGCCAUGUGUUUGUUGCUUGUCCUGAGCUAACCUCCCAGCUUCCACUGGAAGGGCUUUGUGCUGAUCUACCUUCCCCUGUUCAGUGUGAGAUGGUUGUUUCUGUCAGCUGUAUGCUGUUGACCAACUGAACAGCUCUAAGCCUAGGAUAUAAACGGUCAGCCUGUGACAGAUCAUAUUAUAUUUUACACAUGGCUUGUGCAUCCCAUGAGAAGGAAGGUUCAGGUUCUGCACUAGAUGGGAGAUUCUCCUAGCCAUCAGACUUUAGUUGUGGUAAUCAUAGUGGGUAUGGAACCUUUCUGUUCAUUUUGUUUUUUCAAAGUUCUCAAGCUUUGACACUGUGGGAGACCUCCCCAAAUUGAAAGAAUAUAUAGGACCUUCCCCAAGACCAUACAGAAGACAUUUCACCCAGCAAGGGAAAAAGUAACUUAAAUGCUUGCAAGACUGACACUUAUUUUUUGCAGGGCUGCACAGUUUUUGCCCUCCAGCUGUUUGACUACAGUUCCCAUCAUCCCCAGUCAUAGUGGCCAAUAGUCAGGGAUGAUGGAAGCUGUAGUCUAACAAGAGCUGGAGGGCCAAAGUUGCGCAGCCAUGCUGUACUGGAAUAGGACUGUGCCUAAUGGGAAUGUUAGACAAGGGGGCUGCCUUUGUUUCAGAAGAUCCAAGGAAAGGGAAGCGAUGGAGGAUCAUUGGCUCACAACGCAGGUUAGUGAACGGUUUCUAACAGGGGCUGCAUUUUUAAUUGAGCAUGGGAUGAAGCCCCGGAGAUGUUGAUUCUGCAUACUGACUUAUUCCUACGAGAGUAUAGAGACAGGCAAAGAGUUCCAUAACAUCUUCCCUGUAUAAGUAGCAACAGACACUUUGGCAAUGCCCUUCUCCUUCUGUGAAGCUAACUCGGCUGCUCAGUCCCAGUUGCCUUGUUUUGGCUUGCACAGAGUGAACAUGUGAUGUUCAUAAUGCAAGAACUCUGCCAACGCCUCUGUUUCUCAGAAAGGAAAUUAAAAUGUCCAUUGCUUGUGUUUUGGAUAGAGAGAAAGCAAUGGAGGCACAUAAUAAGGGAGUAGCACUUGGGACCUUGGACCAGAUGGGAGUCAGGCUGAAUCCUUGGACUGCCAGUUGCUUAUCUCCAGCCUACGGCAUACUUCAAGAAGUCUUGUGGUGGUUGUACUGGAGACUCGUGGAAGGGGAAAGACUACAGAACAUCCCAUUAUGCACUCUACCACAUCUCCAAAAUUAGCACAAAGUGGAAAAUGCUAUCCUACUAUAUUGUGCUGUUAGUAUGUUGGGAUGGCUGACUGUUCUGCCUUCUGAAUCAAAUUGGUGUUGGAUCACAGAGAUGUGUGUUCCAUCACCCCUUUGUCAGUUGCCCAUGCUUCCAUACAGAGGCUCAAGCAUUGCUAUGCAAGCCUAGAAAUGUCUAUACACUUGUAUGUGAGUUUGUGUGAAUGGCUGUACAUGUGUUUGUUUAAAAGGUGAACCUGGGUACAGGCCCCUCAAAUGCAUGAUGUCAGACUGGUUCGCUUGAUCACCGACCCAACCCGUGAAGAGGAUGUCGAUGCUCCAUGAGAGUGCCCACCCUGAUGUCAUCUGAAGGACGUCCUGAAGAGCUGUUGGGAGAUCCUUCAAUCAUAUGUGGGGGCUGCUCAUCCAGACAACCCUUGGAGUGCAUGUCUAGGGGCUGUUUGGAUGAACACCCCCCACAUGUGAUUGAAGGAUGUCCCAACAGUGUAUAUCUACCUGUGUAAAAUUUAAUGUGUGAAUAACUACUGUGUACAGAUCUAUACCUGUGUACAUCAUACAGUUGUAUAAGCAUUGAACAUAACAUGUCUUCACUCACAUCUUAUGGGGAGGUACUCCAGAGCAGUGGGAAAUCCCGCUGCUUCUGAGUGCCUCCAAAGCUCAUCACAUCAAAAACAAGACCCUUUCCCUCCCCUGAUUUGAGGAAAGGUCAGGGUCAGUGACACCCACAAAUUCUGGCUAGCUACUAAGGCCAGCCAGAAUUUGUGUGCUGCCACUCUGGCUGCACUCAUUUCAUGGGCUGAGUAUUUAUUUUCCCUUGAUCCUAUGCAUUAAAGUUUGAAUAAAAGAUAAGCACCAGCAGACCAUGGCUUGGAGAUGAAACAAACGUUGACUAUUCAGGCAAUUAGGGAUGUGCAUGAACCUGUUUGGAGGCCCUUUUAUGGGCACCUGAACAGGUUUGAACACUGACUGGCUCGAAGUUUCGACAGCGUGUGUGUGUGUGCCUUCCUGCCUUUAAGGGUGGGGGAGGAUGUACUUAUGCACCACGACCACCACCACCACCACAUUCCCCCCGCCAGCACUCAAUUUCCUAAAAGUCCAUUGGGGUUGCAGUGUGCUGCCCAGUUGCCCCCUUUACCGGAUGUAGCCAGAAGUAUUCAACACGCCUGCGCACGUCAUGCACGCACGCAUGCAUGCAUGCAUGCAUGUUGCGUGUAUGUACCAGGCACACACAGGCACAUUGAGUACUUCUGGUUACAUCCAGUAAAGGGGGCAACAGGGCAGCAGGGAGUUACGCUGCCGCCCUGACAGACUUUUAGGAAUCACGCGCUGGUGGAGGAAACACAGCAUGCAGGGGGAGGGGUAAGUGCAUCCUCCCCCACCCUUAAAGGCGUGAGCGCACACUUACUCACUCACUCACUGACUGUCGAACCAGCCCCCGCUGGUUCCGUGCACAUCCCUACAAGCAAUUAGACCAGAGGUCUUCAAACUUUGAUUCAUAUAUGUUGUUAGACUACAACUCCCAUCAUCCCCAGCCCCAAUUGCCAGAGUCCUCAGUUUAGUCAUAAUUAGCCUACAAAUGGUUUUCCCUGCUUUUGGACCCUGCACAGACUGUCACAUCUUCCUAAGAAGGCUGCAGUCUGAAAUUUGACACUGAUAGAUUAUUCAGGUAUUUAUGUUUUAAAAUCAGCUUUUGGCAUUGUGGUAAACUGCAUAUUGAGGAUAAUAUUUGAGUCUUUGGAUGAGGUGGUAGAUUUAGGCUCCUCUGGAAUUUCCCACAAAACAAAAACAAUAUUGUUUUUCUAUUCCUGCACAUUGAACUGCAUAUAUGUUUACUCCUAUUUUUGAUUUGAAAGCAAUAAUCAAUUAAUGGUUGUGCACAUUAAAAUCUCAGUUCUUACUUAUAUGUGCCUGUGUGUGCAUGCACAGGGGGAAAUGAGUCUUUGUCUAUGGCUUGGCAGCAAGAGCUCUUAUAGUAGAUAGUGUGCCAAAUGUAGACCAGGAAGACCUGGUUGCAAAUACCUGCUCCCAUGUGAAGCCCAUUGAAGUCACACACUUUUCUUAUGGCAUAGUCUGCUUUAUAGAAUAGUUGUAAGGAUAACAAGGGAAGCCACCUGCGUCACUCUGGGUGCCUUGGAGGAAGAGUAUGUUUGAUUAUAAUAGAGAAAAAUGUAAAGGUGAGGAGACUAGUGAUGUCAUAAAGAGACAAAGGUAAGAGACUGGAAGACCAGUAAAGCACAGAUAGGAUCCAUUUGUGAAAGCUCUGAGCCUGCGCAGAUCUAAGGUGAGAUGUAAGUAGAGUUGCCAUGCCCCCCGGAAUUCCUGGUUUCACCCAGAUUUCAGGUAUCUCACCCAGAUUGCUUAGGCCACACGGAUUUGCCUGGAUGUCAGCUUUAUUUCUUUUCUUUUCUUUUUUAAAGCUAAGCUCUAGCCCUUGUAGAAGUGGAGUUAUGGAGCAAAAUGUGCAGUCACUAUUCUGCUCAACUGCUGGACUUGGAUUAAGAGAGGAAGAGCACAGGUUGCUAGCUGGAAGGGUUUCACUUUUACAAGUACAGUAAUCCACUGAGGAAUGUUGCCUUGUUUGCUAUCAGCAGGGGAUCUCUUUCAGGCAGUUGAGAGGAUAGCUUGCUUUUGAUGUGAAUCACUACCUACCUGCCAGGCUGUGUACUGUAAUGUUUUAGGACUUCCUUGGCUUUACGUUCAAUGCAUGCCUACUUAGAAGUAAGCACAGUUGGUUUCAAUCAGAUCUUCUCUCAAAUAAGUGUGUUCAGAAUUGCAGGCUUAAUUAAAAAGCUGUGCUUUAUUGUUGUUCUAUUGCUGCUGUUAAUUUGUCAAGGAAAAUGAUAAGGCAAAGAUAUCUUCCCCAACUAUUGUUGGUAGAUAUCUAGAGCAAAUACAAAUCAGCUGGAAAGUUCAGCUACUAAUUUGCAUAUGCAAAUUUAUUUUCAAGACAAUUUACAUAAUGUGGCCAGAUUUGGAAAGCCAGAAUAUGGCAACCCUAAAUGUAAGUCAGCCUGGACAGAAAGGUAACCGGAUGUGCAAGACUGAAGGGGCAUUUCCUCUUUUAUUUAGAAUGCCAAGGAUUGCCAUAGCUAUGGAUAUGUAGACUCAUCCCAGUAGCCUAAUUUCCUUUUGGAAGUCCUGGUGGAUUGGAUUUUGCUCAUCUCAGUGUCUAUCUGAUUGCCUUAUUUUGGACCAACAAGGAAACUGCCCCCACCCCUGGUCAAAAUGACCACAAGAGCUGAAGUGCUUUCUUGUUAAAAGUGUACAAUGAAACAAAGCUGAACAUAUGGACUGCUACUUCCACGAUAGCUGAGGUAUCAGAAUGUAUCCAGGAAGAGGAUUCUCCACCACACAUAAAGAGCUCAACACUGAAGCAUGAGGUUAAUGUUUCCUGCCGUGAAAAUCUAUCAGUGUAACUGAACUUGGAGCUAUCAUGGACAGGAUAGAACUGGUACAUAUGCACGCAGCCAAAAGGUCAAAGAACUGAAAACAAUACUACCAGGAACAGCUUACAUUACAAGAUUACAGCACAAGCAGAAGAGACCCAUAAGACACUUGCUUAGUGAGCACUUCAUCAAGCUGCUAAAACAGAUAGUGACUUUAGACCUUUCUCUCUAUAUAUUUUUAAGGACAUGUAAUAUACUGGAUGAUAUACACACACCUGCUAUUUAUCACUUACAAAUGACAAGAAAAAAGUCAGCUGUCUUCUGCCUCAAAUCCUCCUCUUUUAUGAGGCUGAAAAGGUAGGAAUUGGUGGAGGCUCUGUAAAAGCACCUGUUUUGUGUGUCUGGUCUCAUGGCACUCUUAACUGUCUGUGGGCUGUUUUGGGAAUUGAGCUGAGAGAGAGAGAGAGAGAGAGAGAGAGAGAGAGAGAGAGAGAGAGUUCUGUAGUACUUUCCCCACCUAGAUUUCAAUGUGAUCUUUCCUUUGUUUGAAAUAGUUUCACAGUAAACUCAUCAAGUAUAUCUGUUUAUUAUAUAUGUAGGUAAUUUCUGCUAGCCACCUAAUGGUGCAGCAGGGAAAUGACUUGAUUAGCAAUGGUAAACUCUUCCUGUAUUCUACCAAAGAAAACCACAGGACUCUGUGGUCGUCCGGAGUUGACACCCACUCGACGGCACACUUUACCUUUAGGUUAUUCUAGGCUUGCCUUCACUGUGAAACUCCCAGGGUCAUGCACAACUGAUUUAAAAAAAUCCAUAAAGUAGCAUAAAAAUAAAGAUAAAGGGCCCAUUCAGAUGAUAUGUUCACAUAGGCCUGUCCUAAAUAUGGCCAUUUAUUCAUUUGGGGGAAACUAAGCACAUUUUGGGACAUGAUGCAGUGGUGGCAAAACCUGCCCACCACUCUUAGCUCUGGGUGGCUUGGUCACCACUGUCAAUAUUCCCUCCCCCUUUCCCACCUCCAGGCAGCUCCAGGGCUGAACAGAGGACAAUAGCAUGUUGUUUAUGCUUCCCUCCAUUUUCCCAAAUAGAAAUUGGGUUCAGGACUAGCAGCAGCUCUCCAAGGAUUCAGACAGGAGUCUUUCCCAGCCCUUUCUGGAUAUGCCAAGGAUUGAACCCGUGACCUUCUGCAUGCAAAGUAGAUGCUCUACCUCUGAGCUACAGCCCCAUAAUGUGUAUGUUGAGUUGUUAGCUCAUGCAUAUGUCUGACAUGGCCAACAACUCCUAAGGCUUUCUGGAACUGCAAUGAAACCCUUCAGAUUCUACAGAGUUCUUUAGGGUAUUUCAGCACGAUUCCAGAACUCAAAUGCAUUUUUGUUCUACUGGACAUUUUGUGUCUUCCAGAAGAUCCAAGGGUCUGUAGUAGAACACAUUGGGCCCACUCACACAACCAUUUGGAGGUGGGUAGGAGCCAAGGCAAACUGUUAUCCUGUAAGCAGCAAACCCAUUAGGGCUCCGCAAACCCAUUAGGCACACGGCCAAUGCUGUCAAUGGUUCUACUGCUGAAAUUGGCACCUCCAAGCCCCAAACCUCCAUAGAAUGUCCUCCAAGGGCUUGGAUACAUUCCCAGCAUCUUCUGCUCUGCAAGUAGACUGGAAAAAGCUUCAAGAUGUCAGCGACUGCCUUCCCAUUGGCCACAAAGGAACAGGAGGUAAAUAUAGUCCUGCCAAAGCUGCUCUGGCUCAGAGUAUGCUUUGAAGGCUAGCACAUCCAUGGAUGGGUGGCCACUGUAGGCACAGCUCUCGAUGGUUUCUAUGUGGGUGAGGGUGUCCUGAAUGCUGGUAGCCUGGGUAGAAGCAAUGCAAGGGUUCUCACAAGUUACGAAAUGAUCAGGGUGGGAGGGCUCUGCUCUCCUCCACCUUCGGCAAAAAGUUGGGUACAGAAGCUGGGUAGCCCUGCCAUGAGCAACCUAGGCUGAAAGAGAAUGUGUGAGUUCUGAAGAUCAUGCAAAUCUGGGUAGCCCACUCUCUACCCUGACUUUAACAGUCAUGAGAAUCAGCCUACUGAUUCAUAUGGUUUUGCAGAAAUUUGCCUUUGAAGGGUGGGAUGUUUUGCCUCCUUUUUCAAUGGACAUUUCAAUCUUGUUCAGACAUUCUUCUGCUUUUGGACAUUGUCUACCUGAAUACAGGAUCCAUGAGAGUGCAACAGUAAGUCUGUGUCAAUGUGCUUUUUAACUUUCCAUGAACAUUGCAUUUGUCACUCAUGGAGAGAUUUUUUAUGUACAGCACCACCACUUUAAUAAAGCCUGAACAGAGCUUCUGUUUGCACACCUCA